rnacentral:rRNA from 1 species
AUGAACGCUGGCGGCGUGCCUAACACAUGCAAGUCGAACGGAGUGUUGAGAGCUUGCUUUUAACACUUAGUGGCGGACGGGUGAGUAAUGUAUGAGCAACCUGCCUUUCAGAGGGGGACAACAGUUGGAAACGACUGCUAAUACCGCAUAAAGUAUUUAGGAGGCAUCUCUUGAAUACCAAAGGAGCAAUCCGCUGAAAGAUGGGCUCAUAUCUGAUUAGCUAGUUGGUGAGGUAACGGCUCACCAAGGCUGCGAUCAGUAGCCGGACUGAGAGGUUGAACGGCCACAUUGGGACUGAGAUACGGCCCAGACUCCUACGGGAGGCAGCAGUGGGGAAUAUUGGGCAAUGGGCGAAAGCCUGACCCAGCAACGCCGCGUGAAGGAAGAAGGCUUUCGAGUUGUAAACUUCUUUUGUCAGGGACGAGUAGAAGACGGUACCUGACGAAUAAGCCACGGCUAACUACGUGCCAGCAGCCGCGGUAAUACGUAGGUGGCAAGCGUUGUCCGGAUUUACUGGGUGUAAAGGGAGCGUAGACGGAACAGCAAGUCUGAAGUGAAAUGUAGGGGCUCAACCCCUGAACUGCUUUGGAAACUGUUGAUCUUGAGUACCGGAGGGGCAGGCGGAAUUCCUGGUGUAGCGGUGAAAUGCGUAGAUAUCAGGAAGAACACCGGUGGCGAAGGCGGCCUGCUGGACGGUAACUGACGUUGAGGCUCGAAAGCGUGGGGAGCAAACAGGAUUA